AAACGUAGGAGACGAGCGUUAUCCGGAUUUACUGGGCGUAAAGGGCAAGUAGGCGGUGGGCAAAGUUGGACGUGACAUCUCUCGGCUUAACUGGGAGGGGUCGUCCAAAACUAGUCAACUAGAGGGCAGGAGAGGGGAGUGGAAUUCCUAGUGUAGCGGUGGAAUGCUUAGAGAUUAGGAAGAACACCAGUGGCGAAGGCGGCUCUCUGGCCUGACCCUGACGCUGAGAGGCGAAAGCUAGGGGAGCGAACGGGCUUAGAUACCCCGGUAGUCCUAGCUGUAAACGUUGGGUACUGGGUAUUGGGGGGCAACAAACCCUCAGUGCCGAAGCGAACGCGUUAAGUAUCCCGCCUGGGGACUACGGCCGCAAGGUUAAA
rnacentral:rRNA from 1 species